rnacentral:rRNA from 1 species
AUUGAACGCUGGCGGCAGGCCUAACACAUGCAAGUCGAGCGGAUGAAGGGAGCUUGCUCCUGGAUUCAGCGGCGGACGGGUGAGUAAUGCCUAGGAAUCUGCCUGGUAGUGGGGGAUAACGUCCGGAAACGGGCGCUAAUACCGCAUACGUCCUGAGGGAGAAAGUGGGGGAUCUUCGGACCUCACGCUAUCAGAUGAGCCUAGGUCGGAUUAGCUAGUUGGUGGGGUAAAGGCCUACCAAGGCGACGAUCUGUAACUGGUCUGAGAGGAUGAUCAGUCACACUGGAACUGAGACACGGUCCAGACUCCUACGGGAGGCAGCAGUGGGGAAUAUUGGACAAUGGGCGAAAGCCUGAUCCAGCCAUGCCGCGUGUGUGAAGAAGGUCUUCGGAUUGUAAAGCACUUUAAGUUGGGAGGAAGGGCAGUAAGUUAAUACCUUGCUGUUUUGACGUUACCAACAGAAUAAGCACCGGCUAACUUCGUC